UGGGGAAUUUUGGACAAUGGGCGAAAGCCUGAUCCAGCAAUGCCGCGUGUGUGAAGAAGGCCUUCGGGUUGUAAAGCACUUUUGUCCGGAAAGAAAUCCUUGGCUCUAAUACAGUCGGGGGAUGACGGUACCGGAAGAAUAAGCACCGGCUAACUACGUGCCAGCAGCCGCGGUAAUACGUAGGGUGCAAGCGUUAAUCGGAAUUACUGGGCGUAAAGCGUGCGCAGGCGGUUUGCUAAGACCGAUGUGAAAUCCCCGGGCUCAACCUGGGAACUGCAUUGGUGACUGGCAGGCUAGAGUAUGGCAGAGGGGGGUAGAAUUCCACGUGUAGCAGUGAAAUGCGUAGAGAUGUGGAGGAAUACCGAUGGCGAAGGCAGCCCCUGGGCAAUACUGACGCUCAUGCACGAAAGCGUGGGGAGCAAAACAGGAUUAGAUACCCUGGUAGUCCACGCCCUAAACGAUGUCAACUAGUUGUUGGGGAUUCAUUUCCUUAGUAACUAGCUAACGCGUGAAGUUGACCGCCUGGGGGAGUACGGUCGCAAGAUUAAAACUUAAAUGAAUUAACGGGGUC
rnacentral:rRNA from 1 species